GACGACUAUACCAACUGAGCCACAGCUGCCAUGUUGUUAUGUGUUUUUCAGUCAUCAUUCAGACGUAGAGGAUUACGAGCAGACCCUGAAGGCAGCAUCGGUCAGCAGCUCUAAAGACUUUGGGGGCGGGUCCUCCAGCUCUCAGCCUGUCAUUAGGUUGACUGAAAGUUAGACUGAGACAGGAUAUCCAACAUGGCGGCUGCUGCCGAUGAGCCUCCAGAGCCCCCUGCAGGAACAGAUGGGUGACGUCACUCUGCACAGAGCUGCAUGGUAGCACAUCACUUAGGGUAGCACUAUUUGAUAGCAUGCCAACAUAACUUUAAAUAUGUUUGUUUUUCUUUUUUGUAUAUUUCUCUCUUUAAUAAAAAAUAAUGAAUGAA